AAAAAAAAAAACAUGAUUUUUGUUAAUCCAUAACUUUACAUAUAUAAACAUUAUUGUAGUUAUAUUCGUAUUUGUUUAUUUUUUUUAUAAAAUUUUAUAUAAAGUAUAUAUGUACGCAUUUUGAUAAUUGUAAGUCGACGUCUUGUUUUAUAUAAGUACAUACAUACAUACAUAUAUAUAUAUAUAUGUAUAUAUGUAUGUAUGUAUGUAAGCGCUUAUAUUUUGGACUAACUAUAAAAUGGAAAAGUUGAAUGAAGAAGAACAUGCACACGUUAUGGAUGGGAAGGAAGUCAUUGCUAAUUCAAAUGUAAUGACAACUGAUCUUAAUGGAGUGACGGUUGACCUUAACGGGGAGACGGUUGACCUUAACGGGGAGACGGUUGACCUUAACGGGGAGACGGUUGACCCCAACGGAGUGAUGGCUGGACCGAAUAGGAAGACGGUCAACCAUGAAACACUAAAUGGACUAAAACAGGGUAACAUUGAAGAGACAAAAACAUCAUUCAAUAUUUUUUCUUACUUAAAUAUAAUAUAUAAAAGAUACGGGUUAAUUGCUGAUGAAACAUCUCGAUUUUUAUUAUAUACUAAUAAAAAAAGAAAUAAGUUAAAAAAUAAACUUUUAUAUAAAGUAAAAAAAAUUAGUAAUAAAUAUAUUUCAAAAAUAUAUGAACCUGAAGUAGUUAACGAAAAAUAUAUAGAACUAUUAUUAUUAGAUGUAGAAGUAUGUAUGUGUAGGUACCUACAAAUUAAAACGGAAGUAAACAAUUUAAAAAUACCUUAUAGAUCAAAAUAUUGUUAUUUAAGAAGAUUAAAAAGGGCUUUAAAAAGAUUACAAUUUUUGAAUAAAGAAACAAAUAAUAAGGUUGAUAAAUUAACAGAGUUACAAAUUAAGUGUUAUAAUGCAUAUAUAGAAAUAUCUUAUUUGUUAGAAAAUAAAAAAUAUGAAGAAUGUUUAUUAAAAAUUAAUGAAUUUAUAAUGUUAAUGAAAUUAAUAAAAAGAAUUACGUUAAGUGAUAUCAUCGACAAUGAAAAAAAAGAAAGUGUAAAAAUAAAAGAAAAUGUAAAAACACAGUCAGACAAUCAGAAAAAAAGAACUAGCGAUAUUGUUAUUAAAAGCGAUAUUCAUAAUAAUAAUAAUAUUAAUAACAAUAAUAUUAAUAACAAUAAUAAUAAUAAUAAUAGUCAGUUUAACAACAACAAUAUCAGGAGUGAGAAUGGUCUUACGGACUCUUACGACACAAACAAUACGAGUACUUUUAAAACCAGUACCAAUAAUAAUGACAUCUUUAAAAACAUUAACAACAACAUAGAAAACAAUUUAAUGAAUAAAAGCAACAUUAUUAUUGAAGAAGAAAAAAG
rnacentral:lncRNA from 1 species